rnacentral:rRNA from 1 species
CCUACGGGUGGCAGCAGUGGGGAAUAUUGCACAAUGGGGGAAACCCUGAUGCAGCGACGCCGCGUGAGUGAAGAAGUAAUUCGUUACGUAAAGCUCUAUCAGCAGGGAAGAAAAUGACGGUACCUGAGUAAGAAGCCCCGGCUAACUACGUGCCAGCAGCCGCGGUAAUACGUAGGGGGCAAGCGUUAUCCGGAUUUACUGGGUGUAAAGUGAGCGGAGACGGUGCGCCAAGUCUGGAGUGAAAUGCCGCAGCUUAACGGGGGAACUGCUUUGGAAACUGGCGAACUAGAGUGCGUGAGGGGAUAGCGGAAUUCCAGGUGUAGCAGUGAAAUGCGUAGAUAUUAGGAGGAACACCGGUGGCGAAGGCGACUUACUGGACCGUAACUGACGUUGAGGAGCGAAAGCGUGGGGAGCAAACAGGAUUAGAUACCCCUGUAGUC